rfam:Schistosoma mattheei strain Denwood, Zambia genome assembly, scaffold: SMTD_scaffold0003128
GCACUGCUGAAGAGUCUCAUAAUAGAACGAAACGGCUGUCCAGUUC